rnacentral:rRNA from 1 species
AUUGAACGCUGGCGGCAUGCCUUACACAUGCAAGUCGAACGGUAACAGGUUAAGCUGACGAGUGGCGAACGGGUGAGUAAUGUAUCGGAACGUGCCCAGUCGUGGGGGAUAACUGCUCGAAAGAGCAGCUAAUACCGCAUACGACCUGAGGGUGAAAGCGGGGGAUCGCAAGACCUCGCGCGAUUGGAGCGGCCGAUAUCAGAUUAGGUAGUUGGUGAGGUAAAGGCUCACCAAGCCGACGAUCUGUAGCUGGUCUGAGAGGACGACCAGCCACACUGGGUCUGAGACACGGCCCAGACUCCUACGGGAGGCAGCAGUGGGGAAUUUUGGACAAUGGGCGCAAGCCUGAUCCAGCCAUGCCGCGUGCGGGAAGAAGGCCUUCGGGUUGUAAACCGCUUUUGUCAGGGAAGAAAAGGUUCUGGCUAAUACCUGGGACUCAUGACGGUACCUGAAGAAUAAGCACCGGCUAACUACGUG